rnacentral:rRNA from 1 species
CCUACGGGCGGCUGCAGUGAGGAAUAUUGGUCAAUGGGCGGAAGCCUGAACCAGCCAAGUAGCGUGCAGGAUGACGGCCCUACGGGUUGUAAACUGCUUUUAUACGGGAAUAACGCGCCUUACGUGUAGGGCUUUUCAUGUACCGUAUGAAUAAGGACCGGCUAAUUCCGUGCCAGCCGCCGCGGUAAUACGGAAGGUCCGGGCGUUUUUCGGAUUUCAUGGGGUUAAAGGGAGCGUAGGCCGAAGGUCAAGCGUGCUGUGAAAUGGCCGGGCUCAACCCGGGCCUUGCAGCGCGAACUGGCGUGCUUGAGUCCGCGGAAAGCAGGCGGAAUUCGUCGUGUAGCGGUGAAAUGCUUAGAUAUGACGAAGAACCCCGAUUGCGAAGGCAGCUUGCUGCAGCGGAACUGACGCUGAUGCUCGAAAGCGCGGGUAUCGAACAGGAUUAGAUACCCUUGUAGUC